AUACUUACCUGAACGGGGUCAAUGGUCGAUCAUGGAGGUUCGUGCCCUAGAUCGGUGACCUCCAUUGCACGUUAAGGAGGGGUGCCCGUCUAAGGUUUGCCCAAAACUGUAGAACCUAUGUUAUAAUUUGUGGUAGCGGGACCUGCAUAAACGCAGCCCUUUC